rnacentral:rRNA from 1 species
GUAAAGGGUCGCUAUCGUGCGCGUCGAGCGGAGACGAGUGAACUGACCCUUCGGGUGACGUUAACGGCGUCGAGCGGGGGACGGGUGAGUAAUGCCUGGGAAAUUGCCCUGAUGUGGGGGAUAACCAUUGGAAACGAUGGCUAAUACCGCAUAAUAGCUUCGGCUCAAAGAGGGGGACCUUCGGGCCUCUCGCGUCAGGAUAUGCCCAGGUGGGAUUAGCUAGUUGGUGAGGUAAGGGCUCACCAAGGCGACGAUCCCUAGCUGGUCUGAGAGGAUGAUCAGCCACACUGGAACUGAGACACGGUCCAGACUCCUACGGGAGGCAGCAGUGGGGAAUAUUGCACAAUGGGCGCAAGCCUGAUGCAGCCAUGCCGCGUGUAUGAAGAAGGCCUUCGGGUUGUAAAGUACUUUCAGCAGUGAGGAAGGUGGGUAUGUUAAUAGCAUACUCAUUUGACGUUAGCUGCAGAAGAAGCACCGGCUAACUCCGUGCCAGCAGCCGCGGUAAUACGGAGGGUGCGAGCGUUAAUCGGAAUUACUGGGCGUAAAGCGCAUGCAGGUGGAUGAUUAAGUCAGAUGUGAAAGCCCGGGGCUCAACCUCGGAAUAGCAUUUGAAACUGGUCAUCUAGAGUACUGUAGAGGGGGGUAGAAUUUCAGGUGUAGCGGUGAAAUGCGUAGAGAUCUGAAGGAAUACCGGUGGCGAAGGCGGCCCCCUGGACAGAUACUGACACUCAGAUGCGAAAGCGUGGGGAGCAAACAGGAUUAGAUACCCUGGUAGUCCACGCCGUAAACGAUGUCUACUUGGAGGUUGUGGCCUUGAGCCGUGGCUUUCGGAGCUAACGCGUUAAGUAGACCGCCUGGGGAGUACGGUCGCAAGAUUAAAACUCAAAUGAAUUGACGGGGGCCCGCACAAGCGGUGGAGCAUGUGGUUUAAUUCGAUGCAACGCGAAGAACCUUACCUACUCUUGACAUCCAGAGAACUUGUCAGAGAUGGAUUGGUGCCUUCGGGACUCUGAGACAGGUGCUGCAUGGCUGUCGUCAGCUCGUGUUGUGAAAUGUUGGGUUAAGUCCCGCAACGAGCGCAACCCUUUUCCUGUUUGCCAGCACUUCGG